rnacentral:rRNA from 1 species
UUGAAAGGGAAACGAUUGAAGUCAGUCGUACCAGCGGGAAAUCAACCUUUCGAGUGGGGGUUUUGGAGUUUUGAAGAGUGUCAAAACCUUUGAGAUUUCAAAAUAUUCGCUCUUUUGGUGUACUUUCUCGUGGGUAGGUUAACAUCGAUUUUGAUCAUCAUAAAAAGAUUGGAGGAAUGUAGCUUCGAUCUUGUAUUGAAGUGUUAUAGCCUUUGGUAAAUGUGAUGAUUAGGAUCGAGGAUUGCAACGAAUACCCUUUUGGGCUAUCCGCCUGAUCUCUGAUACGUAGCCUUGGUAUCGAAAGCGUGCUUAUNGUAUUGAGGUAUUACGGUCAAAAGGUUAGAACCGGAUNACAUUCGUUAAGGAUGUUGACGUA